UACGGAGGGUGCAAGCGUUGUCCGGAUUUAUUGGGUUUAAAGGGUGCGUAGGCGGCCGUUUAAGUCCGGGGUGAAAGCCCACUGCUCAACAGUGGAACUGCCCUGGAAACUGGACGGCUUGAGUACAGACGAGGGCGGCGGAAUGGAUGGUGUAGCGGUGAAAUGCAUAGAUACCAUCCAGAACCCCGAUUGCGAAGGCAGCUGCCUAGACUGUAACUGACGCUGAGGCACGAAAGCGUGGGGAGCGAACAGG
rnacentral:rRNA from 1 species